ACUCCUGCAGGCCCUGCCUAGGGCAGCCGGCGGUGCCUGGAGGCGGGCUCGCCCCGGCUGCUCCACGCCCAGGCCGGUCCCUGGCAUUUCAGCCAGUGGGAGGGCGUCCCCGCCGCCCCCGUGCCUCUCCGCAGGGGCUGCGCCGCGUCCCCGGGCCUCUCCCUCCGCCGUGGCCUGGUCUGCCUGCUCCAGGGCGCAGCUGCGCCCGCUUCAGCGCCUCCCGGGUCUGCGUGGCCUGCUCGGCUCAGAGGCCUCCACCACGGUCCGCUCCCUGCCGGACGCCGCGCUGCUGUGGCCGCGGUGGUUCUGUGGCUGUGAGGGCCGUUUCUGUCCGUCCACACCGCCUUCCCUCUGCAGAUUUCCUCUGCAGAGGCCCGGAGUUACCAGCAAGGUCUGACGCAGCAGAGUGCAGAAACGGCCUCCCUGUCUGUCAAAGUGGCCUCCCGAGGACACCCAGCGAGGCCACCAGAUCAUCACGUGGAGUAUCGGUGGCCUUAUUAAAACAAAAACAACAACUCCACAGCCCGGCGAGCGGUGGACGGCAUCCAGACGCGGAGGGAAGUUUCCUCCUGGGGAGCAGCGCACGUGCUGCCUGGAGACAGAAGCGAAGAUCAGAUUGCACGUGCGUGGAAUGUGGCCGCAGCACCAGUUCUGAGCUCCACGAUUUGCCGGAGCAUGACUCUGUUCUUCAUGAAAAUUAUUAUAAAGAGUGCUUCCAGGAGGCUGAGGCAGGAGAAUCGUUUGAACCCGGGAGGCAGAGGUUGCAGUGAGUGGAGAUUGCGCCACUGCACUCCCAGCCUGGGCAACAGAGAGAGACUCCGUCUAAAAAAAAAAAAAAAAAAAAAAAAAAAAAAGAGUGCUUCCACAUUAAAUCAAGAAAGACACACACACAAGUGAACUGGAAGAGUAUCACACCCUCUUAGGCCUCAAUGUCCACAACAUCACUGGCCACAGCUUUUAGUUUCAGGAGGUGAGAUAUGAAAACAAACCUAAUGGGCAAAGCAGAUCUAAACAGGGUAAGACCUGGAGCCCCGGCCCCAUGCAGCCUGCAGAAGAAGCCCUGGAGGCUCUCACCUCCCACUUCAGGCUGCCCAAAGUCACAGAGCCUGUGACUCCAGGACUCAUCUUUCUACAAACGCUUUGGUUGGCCAGCGCUUCCUUUUACCGUCAGCCGCCCCUGCCCGGGACACUUGCAGAUCAGGGGACUUUGUGGGUCUCAUUGAGGCUGUAUUUGCGGAUUCAAUUACGCAUUUUUAAUUCCGCAAAUAUUUGCCACUGCUGCCUGACCUGGAGCCUGUGUGGCCAGAUCCUUUGAUCGAAAGCCGUCUGCCUGUGGAUCAGACCCUGUGAGAAGAAAAUGACAGGAGCAGAAGGUCAAAGGGAAGCAUCGAGAGAAAGAGGAUGAAUUGACACCUGUGGCUAAUUGAAGUGAAAUCAGAUCACAGAGGCCAUGAGACCCACGUCCAGAGGGCCCUAGGAGGGAGCUGUGGGCUCAGCUGGUUGAUUUACUCUGGCUUGGGUCGCUGCUACUGCUUUGAGGACAAUAAGCUUGGCCAUCACCAGACACCAGAGGAUGCUGAAGGGACAGCCGGCUAGACUAUUUCAUGGACUCUCUGAGCAUGUCCUAUUGCAGUCCAGAUGUGCCUUUCACCUCCCGCCAUGAUUCUGAGGCCUGCCCAGCCAUGUGGAACGAUACACCGAGUUUUCCUGUGUGUUCAGGUGUUUGUUCCGAGGGUGCGUUAGUGGACGAAUUCCUCCACCUGUGCAUCUGGAGACCUGGGGAUGUCUAUGCUCUUUGCCCCCUGCCAGGGUUGAGCAUGUGAUCAUAUCUCCAGCGGACGACACCAAAAGAAUGUCUGUGACCUCGUCCCCUGGCGACCACGUCUACAGUGACUGAGUGCUGCCGUGGCUGGAAAGCCAGGGUCUGCAUCUCCCAGGACCUCAGGACCUGUGAUGAGGUGUUGUGGGGCCAAGAAGAGGAGGGGGUCCAUGGUGGGCUCUGCCGCAGGUGACCCUGCGCACUGUCCUAGCACCUGUGCCUAAGGAGAUGCCCUCUAUGGUACCAAGCAUCUCCCAAAAUGUGAUUUGCUCUUCCUGUGAUAGAAUGGAGUGGGCUGAGGGGGCGAUGGGUGCUGGAAAGCCACAAGGCUGCCAUUGAUCUGCCAGAGAAGGCACCUGCUCACCUGGCAGGAUGCUCACCUGGCAGGAUGUUCACCUGGCAGGAUGCUCACCUGGCAGGAAUAGCAAAUUUGCUAGAAAAAUGCAGGUUCCCCUGUUCUGGGUGAUCUGUGACUUCUGCCACACAGGGGAUCCAGAGUGCGAGGAUAUCCAGAGAGCUGGAAUGAGGAUUUUGCUGAGCUGAGGGCUAAGCUUGAAGCAGAAGAAACCACAGUAAAAACACUGGUCAAUGUAUGCUCGGAUCUACUCAGCGACUUUCCAGAGAGCCGUGUGGCUUUACUAAUGACAGACAUCGUGGUGCAUUCCAGACCCCUGGGCUUGUUCAUCUGACGUCACUGCAACCUCCUGAUUCCACUCAAUAGGCCAAGACAAGCGGAAGCUCCGGUUCAGGGAGAACGUUCCCCAGGAAAUCAGGGCAGCAGAGUUUUCCAGGAACGGAGGCUGUGACGGUGGAGGGUGGCCAGGCAGCAGGAGGCCGGGGAAGCGGGUGUCCUGAAGCAGAGGCCGCGGCGCCACGUGUAUGGCAGCUUGCAGGAUAAAAGCCAAAGUGAUUGCUCCAAAUGGACAUCCAUGCCAGUCAUCUGUGUAAGGAUCGCUGAGUGUCUCACAAAAGCACGUGGGUAUGAAGGUGGGGUUGACAUUGAUGAUUAAACCAAGCAGUACAGAAGCAUCGGUGCUGGUCACUUAUCCCCGUCCUUCCCAUCAUUCGAGAUCCCCUUCCAGCGAAUGGCAUCUUCUGGUGUGUGCAGGACCCGAUGGAGGAGUGAUGAGACCUCAGAGCCAUGUCCAGGCUCUUCCAGUCAGUUGGUGGCCUCCACAAAUGCCAGCCAGCCCGCCCAAUGCAAGCUUCUGCUUGGCCAACGUGUAGCAGUUACGAUGCAGCAAUUGGAAGAGGCUGUGGGGAUCAGUAAUUCCAGUGGGGGAGCGACGGACACCCCUAAGAACCCAUUCCACGAUUUUAGUCCCAAAUUGGAUUUUGCUUGGAGAAAUUCUCUGCCCUGUAGUAGUGGUUUUUAAGAUCACAGAUAUUGGAGUAAGAAAGACAAGGCUCUUCUAUUUGCUGGUCUAUUGACUCACAGGGGAAUACCAGAGAACUUGGCAUCCAGAAAACAGUCAACAAAUGAAGACAGUGCAACUAAGACCUGGGCGCCAUGUUCCUUCCCUAAGGCUCAUUUCACUAGGAUGCUGUGUCAGCACGCGCACACACACACACACACACACUCACACACUCCAGGAAGCCUCUAAAAGAAAUGCAAGUGUUCUCCAGUAGAAGGAGCAUCGCUGAAAUUUACUCAACAGCACGGUCUUCGUGUCUUUCCCUCCCAGGCCCACACUCUCAGCUGCCUCCUCCCCUCUCGCUCCUUUCCUCCUGUGUUCUCCAGCAAGGGUGAGGACCCACUGUCAUUCAGAAAACCUCCUCCUAGUUUUUCUAUGCAGGGAGUCAUUCACACAUCCAGCAAGGAAAACAGGGGCUUGUGCAGACUCUCCUUGGGAGGUAAUGGGAGAGGGAUUCUAAAUGCUUGUCACAUUUUUACCUGACACUGUUACUACCAUGUAACUACUAAUAACUAAUGCCAACUUCUGAAUCAUAUUUCCUAUCAUCUUAUGAGAGAGAACUCUGUGGUGUAUAAACACCAAAUCACAAAUCUCCACUUUACAUUCUUGUUUGUCUACUUGUUUGUCUGUUUUCCACUGCAGUGCAGGAGCCCGUGGAGGAGACCCGGUUUCCAGCACCGAGGGGCUCAAGAAUCUCAGGUCACCUGUGAGAUGAGCUCUGAGCACUUGCCCACACUCCUGAGCAUGAACAUAAAGCCCCAUCACAUGCAGUGGCAGAUGGUUAAGACAACAACCAACCAUCUCGUCAGAUAAAAGCUUCGCUCCACUUAAAGUGGAUGAUUUUUAAAUUUGUUUGUAAAACCUUUGAUAUUUGACUACUAAGAAAUUAUAAGAUCCCUAUGGACAGGCAACUAAUUUUCUACAUUUCCUGGUUCUUUAAAAAUAAAUAAUUGUCAUAGGUCCUUAUUAAAGCUCUCAGAAUUGUACUUUUGAUUUCUAAUAAAUGCCAAAAUAUAUCUUAUCAAAUAUU
rnacentral:lncRNA from 1 species